GAAAACCAGUUGUGGUCUGUGGGCUCUGGUAGCGUAAAGACCGGUGACGUGGGCCACGGCAGCUUUAACGACAACAGCAAAAACAACCAAUUCUGGUCAGUGGACUCUGGUAGCGUAAACACCGGUAACGUGGGCCACGGCAGCUUUAACGACAACAGUAUAAACAACAAAUUCUUGCCAGUGAAAAACAACAAAUUCUGGUCAGUGGGCUCUGGUAGCGUAAACACUGGAGACGUGGGCCACGGCAGCUUUAACGACAACAGUAUAAACAACAAAAUCUUGCCAGUGAAAAAGAACAAAUUCUGGUCAGUGGGCUCUGGGAGCGUAAACACCGGUGACGUGGGCCACGGCAGCUUUAACGACAACAGCGUAAGUAGCAGAGAUUACCUCCCCAUGCUAUCUAGCUUCACGCACAUCAUGAAUGGACCCCAUUUCAGUUAGUUUGAUGUCUCAUAAUGUUUGCCUGCGAGGAGCAUUGGCUACAUUUGCUCAUGUUGCG
rnacentral:lncRNA from 1 species